rnacentral:misc_RNA from 1 species
CUCCAUUGUUGUGUAAGGUUAGCUUAGAGAAGUGACGACAAUGGAAGGCAGCUGGGAUACGUGCAUCCCGAACUGCCCAUGUUGCGAGCAUAUACCACCAGUCUACUGCUUCUGUAACUCUUCUUCUCCCCAACACAUUACACCCUGCGUCCCUCGCUAUCCUUGUUGCCAACACAGUUGUACCAGCCCACAUGAAUCGCUGCCGACGCCCCAGCCAUCACCCUCACUUCAUCAGCCGGAGGAUUCACCCCAUGACAAACUAAUUUAUGGAAUGGACCUUCCCCCUAAAGUCGCCUUCUCCGUUUUGGAUGAUGCACAGCCAUCUUUGAGAGAUAAAAAACUUUAUCUGAUGGCAUUUCAACUUAGCUUAAUGAUCAUCUGGAGUGCUAUGAUUAUUCCCUCCAUGCUUGCCGGAGUAAUGGGUGGCGGCAAUGUGGAGAAGGCUGAGGCAAUCCAGACUUCGCUAUUUAUGACGGGGAUGAACACAUUCUUGCAGAUUUUCUGGGGUAAUCAGCUUUCUGCGGUGAUGAGUACAUCCAAAGCUUUCGUCACCUCAGCCAUCUCCAUAGCUGUAUCAAUCAACAAUAAAUUUGGUGACACACUUACUCCACGUCAGAGGUUUGAACUAUCCAUGAGACGUAUACAAGGAGCAAGCAUCAUUGGGUCCUUCCUUCAAAUAAUCUUUGGUUACAGUGGUCUGGCCAAGUUUUUUGCAAGGUAUAGCAAUGCUGUGCUAAAAGUGUCUAUACUGGAUUUGGGAUAUUUUAUUUGGUUAAGAGCUUUAAUUUGGAUUUUCUUUGAUGCCAUGCCAGCAAGCUUCGCUAUGUCUCUUCUAUUCUUCUUGUGACUCUCACUGGACUUGAGUUAUAUUCACGUGGAUUGCCACAAGUAAGAUAGAAAGCUGAUCGACUGGUAUUAUUUAUCAUUUUGCGAAAUAGAUUUGAUUUGUUAAACGGGUUGUUAUAUAGAGUAGGGUGAUAAUUGAACAAAACAAGAAAAGAAAAUAUAGAGAAAAUAUCUUCCGCAAAUCUUGAGAGAAAUAUGUGAAACAAGAAAAUAUCAAACAAGAAGCAAACACAGUA